GGAGAGAUGGCAGAGCGGUCGAAUGCGGCGGUCUUGAAAACCGUUGAAGCGCAAGUUUCCGGGGGUUCGAAUCCCUCUCUCUCCGCCG
rnacentral:tRNA from 1 species